rnacentral:tRNA from 1 species
GCCUGGGUGGCUCAAUCGGUUAAGCAUCAGACUUUGGAUCAGGUCACGAUCUCAUGGUUCGUGGGUUCAAGCCCCACAUCAGGCU